rnacentral:rRNA from 1 species
UGGGGAAUUUUGGACAAUGGGCGCAAGCCUGAUCCAGCAAUGCCGCGUGCAGGAUGAAGGCCUUCGGGUUGUAAACUGCUUUUGUACGGAGCGAAAAGGUCUGCCCUAAUACAGUGGGCUCAUGACGGUACCGUAAGAAUAAGCACCGGCUAACUACGUGCCAGCAGCCGCGGUAAUACGUAGGGUGCGAGCGUUAAUCGGAAUUACUGGGCGUAAAGCGUGCGCAGGCGGUUAUGCAAGACAGAGGUGAAAUCCCCGGGCUCAACCUGGGACCUGCAUUUGUGACUGUAUAGCUAGAGUACGGUAGAGGGGGAUGGAAUUCCGCGUGUAGCAGUGAAAUGCGUAGAUAUGCGGAGGAACACCGAUGGCGAAGGCAAUCCCCUGGACCUGUACUGACGCUCAUGCACGAAAGCGUGGGGAGCAAACA